rnacentral:misc_RNA from 1 species
UAAUAAGUGUUUUAUGGCACUUUUUAAAUCCAUAUCCACCUUGUGUGCAAUGUCAGUCGAUCUUCUUUAUUGGAGAUCCGACCAAACAUCAACCUUUAUUUUUAACUCUUUGUCUGAAAAAUAUUAUGAAUAAACAAUUCAAAAUA